rnacentral:tRNA from 1 species
GCGGGUGUGGCGGAACUGGCAGACGCAGCGGGCUCAGAACCCGCUGGGGUAAUACCCCGUGAGGGUUCAAAUCCCUCCACCCGCACCA